rnacentral:rRNA from 1 species
GACGAACGCUGGCGGCGUGCUUAACACAUGCAAGUCGAACGAGACGAUUGAAAGCUUGCUUUCGAAAGUCGAGUGGCAAACGGGUGAGUAACGCGUAGACAACCUACCUCUUAGAUGGGGACAACAUCGCGAAAGCGGUGCUAAUACCGAAUGAAGUGACUUUCCUGCAUGGGAGAGAUACUAAAGGUGGCCUCUAUUUAUAAGCUACCACUGAGAGAUGGGUCUGCGUCUGAUUAGCUAGUUGGCGGGGUAACGGCCCACCAAGGCGACGAUCAGUAGCCGGGCUGAGAGGAUGAACGGCCACAUUGGGACUGAGACACGGCCCAAACUCCUACGGGAGGCAGCAGUGGGGAAUCUUCCGCAAUGGACGAAAGUCUGACGGAGCAACGCCGCGUGAGUGAAGAAGGUUUUCGGAUCGUAAAGCUCUGUUGUUUGGGACGAAUGUGCCUGUUUCGAAUAGGGAUAGGUAAUGACGGUAUUAAACGAGAAAGCCACGGCUAACUACGUGCCAGCAGCCGCCGUAA